AUUGAACGCUGGCGGCAGGCCUAACACAUGCGAGUCGAACGGUAACAGGAAGCAGCUUGCUGCUUUGCUGACGAGUGGCGGACGGGUGAGUAAUGUCUGGGAAACUGCCUGAUGGAGGGGGAUAACUACUGGAAACGGUAGCUAAUACCGCAUAACGUCGCAAGACCAAAGAGGGGGACCUUCGGGCCUCUUGCCAUCGGAUGUGCCCAGAUGGGAUUAGCUAGUAGGUGGGGUAACGGCUCACCUAGGCGACGAUCCCUAGCUGGUCUGAGAGGAUGACCAGCCACACUGGAACUGAGACACGGUCCAGACUCCUACGGGAGGCAGCAGUGGGGAAUAUUGCACAAUGGGCGCAAGCCUGAUGCAGCCAUGCCGCGUGUAUGAAGAAGGCCUUCGGGUUGUAAAGUACUUUCAGCGGGGAGGAAGGGAGUAAAGUUAAUACCUUUGCUCAUUGACGUUACCCGCAGAAGAAGCACCGGCUAACUCCGU
rnacentral:rRNA from 1 species